UACGGAGGGUGCAAGCGUUAUCCGGAUUUACUGGGUUUAAAGGGUGCGCAGGCGGAUAUGUAAGUCAGUGGUGAAAUCUCCGGGCUUAACCCGGAAACUGCCGUUGAUACUAUAUAUCUUGAAUGCUGUGGGGGUAAGCAGAAUAUGUCAUGUAGCGGUGAAAUGCUUAGAGAUGACAUAGAAUACCUAUUGCGAAGGCAGCUUACUACGCAGAUAUUGACGCUCAUGCACGAAAGCGUGGGGAUCAAACAGG
rnacentral:rRNA from 1 species